AAGCCGACGAUCUGUAGCUGGUCUGAGAGGACGACCAGCCACACUGGGACUGAGACACGGCCCAGACUCCUACGGGAGGCAGCAGUGGGGAAUUUUGGACAAUGGGCGCAAGCCUGAUCCAGCCAUGCCGCGUGCAGGAUGAAGGCCCUCGGGUUGUAAACUGCUUUUGUACGGAACGAAAAGACUCUGGUUAAUACCUGGGGUCCAUGACGGUACCGUAAGAAUAAGCACCGGCUAACUACGUGCCAGCAGCCGCGGUAAUACGUAGGGUGCGAGCGUUAAUCGGAAUUACUGGGCGUAAAGCGUGCGCAGGCGGUUAUGUAAGACAGAUGUGAAAUCCCCGGGCUCAACCUGGGAACUGCAUUUGUGACUGUAUAGCUAGAGUACAGCAGAGGGGGAUGGAAUUCCGCGUGUAGCAGUGAAAUGCGUAGAUAUGCGGAGGAACACCGAUGNGCNGNANANGGCNANNAUCCCCUGGGCCUGUACUGACGCUCAUGCACGAAAGCGUGGGGAGCAAACAGGAUUAGAUACCCUGGUAGUCCACGCCGUAAACGAUGUCGACUUGGAGGUUGUGCCCUUGAGGCGUGGCUUCCGGAGCUAACGCGUUAAGUCGACCGCCUGGGGANNGNUNACGGCCGNNCAAGGUUAAAACUCAAAUGAAUUGACGGGGGCCCGCACAAGCGGUGGAGCAUGUGGUUUAAUUCGAUGCAACGCGAAGAACCCUACCUACUCUUGACAUCCAGAGAACUUUCCAGAGAUGGAUUGGUGCCUUCGGGAACUCUGAGACAGGUGCUGCAUGGCUGUCGUCAGCUCGUGUUGUGAAAUGUUGGGUUAAGUCCCGCAACGAGCGCAACCCUUAUCCUUUGUUGCCAGCGGUCCGGCCGGGAACUCAAAGGAGACUGCCAGUGAUAAACUGGAGGAAGGGUGGGGAUGACGUCAAGUCAUCAUGGCCCUUACGAGUAGGGCUACACACGUGCUACAAUGGCGCAUACAAAGAGAAGCGACCUCGCGAGAGCAAGCGGACCUCAUAAAGUGCGUCGUAGUCCGGAUUGGAGUCUGCAACUCGACUCCAUGAAGUCGGAAUCGCUAGUAAUCGUGGAUCAGAAUGCCACGGUGAAUACGUUCCCGGGCCCUUGUACACACCGCCCGUCACACCAUGGGAGUGGGUUGCAAAAGAAGUAGUAGCUUAACCCUUCGGGAGGGCCGCUUACCACUUUGUGAUUCAUGACUGGGGGUGAAGUCGUAACAAGGUAACCAUAGAGUCUGAUCCUGCCUCAGUAGUCGUACAGGUACCAUAGAGUUUGAUCCUGCGACGGUGAGUAUGCCUAGGUGAGUCGUACAGUACAUCGAC
rnacentral:rRNA from 1 species